GGUUAAUGAUGAGUCAACUUCAGGUCCGUGUUUUUGAAACUAAUGAUAACAACUGAAGUUCUGAAUAU
ensembl:snoRNA SNORD18 Small nucleolar RNA SNORD18